AGAGUUUGAUCCUGGCUCAGAUUGAACGCUGGCGGCAGGCCUAACACAUGCAAGUUGAGCGGAAACGAGUUAUCUGAACCUUCGGGGAACGAUAACGGCGUCGAGCGGCGGACGGGUGAGUAAUGCCUAGGAAAUUGCCCUGAUGUGGGGGAUAACCAUUGGAAACGAUGGCUAAUACCGCAUAAUACCUACGGGUCAAAGAGGGGGACCUUCGGGCCUCUCGCGUCAGGAUAUGCCUAGGUGGGAUUAGCUAGUUGGUGAGGUAAUGGCUCACCAAGGCGACGAUCCCUAGCUGGUCUGAGAGGAUGAUCAGCCACACUGGAACUGAGACACGGUCCAGACUCCUACGGGAGGCAGCAGUGGGGAAUAUUGCACAAUGGGCGCAAGCCUGAUGCAGCCAUGCCGCGUGUGUGAAGAAGGCCUUCGGGUUGUAAAGCACUUUCAGUCGUGAGGAAGGUAGUGUAGUUAAUAGCUGCAUUAUUUGACGUUAGCGACAGAAGAAGCACCGGCUAACUCCGUGCCAGCAGCCGCGGUAAU
rnacentral:rRNA from 1 species